AUACGGAGGAUCCAAGCGUUAUCCGGAUUUAUUAGGUUUAAAGGGUGCGCACGCGGAAAUGUAAGUCACCGGUGAAAUCCUACAGCUUAACUGUAGAACUGCCGGUGAUACUGUAUUUCUUGAGUAUAGUUGAGGUAGGCGGAAUGUGUAGUGUAGCGGUGAAAUGCAUAGAUAUUACACAGAACACCGAUUGCGAAGGCAGCUUACUAAACUAUUACUGACGCUCAUGCACGAAAGCGUGGGGAGCGAACAGGAUUAGAAACCCCAGUAGUCC
rnacentral:rRNA from 1 species